ACCAUAUAAUGGUUGAGGUAGCAAGCUACAAAAUGCCAUUUAAUAUCCACCAAACAGCCAAAAGAGAAGAAAUUGUUAAAACAUAUCAACAACCAAGAAAGGGGUUCUUUUUAGAAACCAAAUCUUCUAGCAAAUUGAGGAUCAUUAAAUAGUCUUUCACCUGGCUUUUUUGCAUGUUCUUGCUUUCCUAGGAACAAAAAGUGGGCUAUUGAGCAUUCAUUCUAGCAGUCCAAAACAUAAUC
rnacentral:lncRNA from 1 species